UACAGAGGGCUCAAGCGUUGUUCGGAUUCAUUGGGCGUAAAGGGUGCGUAGGCGGCGAGGCAAGUCUGGUGUGAAAUCCCGGGGCUCAACCCCGGAACUGCACUGGAUACUGCUUUGCUAGAGUACUGGAGAGGGGACUGGAAUUUACGGUGUAGCAGUGAAAUGCGUAGAUAUCGUAAGGAAGACCAGCGGCGAAGGCGAGUUCCUGGACAGUUACUGACGCUGAGGCACGAAGGCCAGGGGAGCAAACGGG
rnacentral:rRNA from 1 species